AUGCUGCGCCACCGGUCCAGGAGGAAGCGGAAAGAAGCGAGCAGCUCUCUGGAGGAAUGUGCCAGGGCCGUGGGGAGUGGUGACCAAACCGACUCGCUGAGGGCCACGUCGCUUCAGGUCUUCAUGGACCUGCUGCAGGACUCCAGUCACACCAUGUGGGGCCUGAACGUCCGAUUGAAGGACUUCAUGGAGCAGGUGAGCCGGCUGCAGGAGGCCAACCGCCAGCUGGAGGCCCAGAUAGCCGACUGGGGUGCCAGGAUCAGCUCGCGCGGUCACAACUGGACCCAGCAGGAGCAGAUCGCCAAGGAGCUCCGUUCUCAGAUCUGUGAACUUCUGAUGGAGAACGCCCAGCUAGCCUUACAGUCCAACAACAUGAAGUCCAGAGCUGCUGAGAUCCAAACCAGGUGUGAGAUGGAGGAGAGGAACACCAGACGUCUGGAGCAGCAAGUUGCUCAGCUCCGGGAGGCAAAGCGGAGGGCGGACGUGCGCGGCGUGACGCUGCAGGAUGAGUGUCACCGCGCCAUGACACAGCUGCAUCACAUGGACCAGGAGUUUCAGGCAGCCCGGGUUCUGCAGCUGCAGCGGGCCGAGUCUUGCGAUGCUCUGUUAGCCGCAUCAGCAGGAGGAGGGGAGGAGGAGGAUGGCACAGGGAUGGAGCUCACCCAGCUCUUCGACCGAAUCAGAGCGCAGUGCGACCAGAGCAGACCUCAGGGCCCGGUCGAGAGGCUCCCAGGACCGAGAGCGGGCUCAGACCCAGCCCCCGGCUCUGCUGGGCCUGACUGGUCCGGAGGUGCAGCAGCAGCUUCCAGAACACUCAGAGGAGCUCUUAAUGAGGUAUGCAUCCUCUCCCACGUCCUCAUCCAUGUCUUGAUUUUCUCUGCAUAA
rnacentral:lncRNA from 1 species